AACAAGUUUGGUUCUGGCUUUAGUUUUAAUUUGAACUAUGAGAAAUACAUGAAAUUGUUUGAAUAUAGUGAGUAGAUAAGGGUUUUCAAAAUGUCAAGAACUUUUUGGAAACAUAAAAGUAUUAUUUUUUAUAUGAUGCUUAGUUAUUCCACUUCAUCAGUAUUGAAGAUUAAAUAUAUAUGAAAUUAGGAUUUAGUAAUUAGUUUAGAAAUUUGGAAAAAUUUGUGCCAGCCUCCGCGGUUAGACAAAUGAAGUUGAAUUAAAAUGGUAACGGUAGAAAAUAUGAUUAAUUUUUUUGGUAGAUGGAUCUUUUUCAUUUUUAUGGGUUAAAUCAGAAAAGUGAUAAUUAAUUUUUUUCCGUUUUGAGAAUGAUGUCAUGAAAGCUUUAUAAUAGACCGGGAUUAGAUACCCCGUUAUUUAAGAAGUAAAUAUAGAUUUUUUUUAUACCUGAGUAUUACGAGAUUUUUCUUAAAACUCAAAGAACUUGGCGGUGCCUUAGACCCAGUCAGGGGAACCUGCUCCGUAAUCGAUAUUCCACGUAGUACCUGACUUUCUUUUGCUGGCAGUUUGUAUACCGUCGUCGUUAGGUGACUUUUUAGAAGAGAAAAGUUAGCGAAAGGAUAUUUUUAUCUAAAUGUCAGAUCAAGGUGCAGCUUAUAAGAAAGUGGAGGUGGGUUACUUUAAAAAAUUUUUUAUGGAUCUUUUUUUGAAAACAAGAAGUGAAAAUGGACUUGAGAGUAAAUUUUAAGAAAGAGUGUUAAAUUGAACCAGGAUUUAAGGUGUGCACACAUCGCCCGUCACUCUCGUUGAAAAAUGAGAUAAGUCGUAACAUAGUAAAGGUACCGGAAGGUGUUUUUAUAAGACA
rnacentral:ncRNA from 1 species